rnacentral:lncRNA from 1 species
GGCCUUCAGCAAGCAGCUUCCAUGACCGCUUGUGUGGUUGAAGAUGGAAACGAGCCUGAACCGGAACCUGAUUAGGUAUGUAAUCUGUUGUUAUUGCCAUUUUCCUGUUUGUUUGUAACCUCCGUUCUUUUCUCCUCUGGAUUCGGCAACAGCAGUGACGUGUUGUGUGGUCACCCUCUUGGGGACGUUGUCGGGGAGCUCAGGUUCCUUCCGGUUACGGCACGGCGACGUCUUUGGGAGGCUUGGAUCAUUGUUUGAAGCAUCUUCGUGUGUGGCAGUCUCAUCGCCAGUAUUUUGGGAUCUUUCUGCUCGCUGACAUGGUCGACGCUCCACGUCAUGGAGCAAGAGGGCGGAGAGCCUCUUCGGUAACAGUUUGGUGUGGGCAGUGCGGCGAAGUCCGGUGGUUCCUCUACGAGACGCGAGUUCAUUCUUGGUUGGCUUCCGUGGUGCUUUUUUUUUGUGUGUGGUUCAGCCCCUCCAGUGCUCAUCCUCCCGGAUGGUGGCGUCCAAUAGUGCAUCUCUUGCUCAUUGUUUUCCGUUGCUUUCUUUGUUUAUCGGUUUUUAUUUUGAUCGGCUUUGUAAGAGUUUUUUCAACACAUUGUAUCAUUCAGCCAUGUGGCUUUAUAUAUAAAGCAGGACGAAACCAUAUUUCAAGGGUUGCAUGACGAGAUAUAUUCUUUUUACAAUGACAAUAUAGGUUUCGUUGACAUGCUAGAUUGUUGAUGAAUAUGUUUGCUAAUCUACUAAUUAGCCACACUUCCAAGUAUAUUGUUAUUAUGCAAUUUGGACAGCUUGGCGCCCGUGGAUUUCUCCAAGCACACAAAAUAGUGUUCAGCGAAAUGCUUGUGAGACUGUGAAGAAUAGCUUUUUGUUUUUGGUCGUUUUCACUAUGCCGUCGUACCCACGGUAGUGUUGAAGUCCGUCUUUGUAUCUUUCAGCAACUCUGCUACAUUUAAAUUU